UUCGUAGUGAACUGCGGAAGGAUCAUUGUCGAAACCUGCCCAGCAGAACGACCCGCGAACGAGUGAAAAAAAAUACCGGCGGUGCGGGGGUGCGUCAGCUCCCCGCUCGCCGCGUCGCGGGCGGUGCGGUCGGCUUCUCGUACGCGAGCGUCGUUCCGUCCCGCCCCGCGGCACAACAACGAACCCCGGCGCGGACCGCGCCAAGGAAAUUCUAACGAGAGAGCUCGCUCCCGUCGCCCCGGAGACGGAGCGCGAUCGGGCAGCGGCGCCUUCUUUCACAAUCCAAAACGACUCUCGGCAACGGAUAUCUAGGCUCUCGCAUCGAUGAAGAACGUAGCGAAAUGCGAUACUUGGUGUGAAUUGCAGAAUCCCGUGAACCAUCGAGUCUUUGAACGCAAGUUGCGCCCCAAGCCUUUAGGCCGAGGGCACGUCUGCCUGGGUGUCACGCAUCGUCGCCCCCCCCAAACCCCCCGAACCCCGGGGGGGAACGCGGGCGGGGCGGAGAAUGGCCUCCCGUGCGCCGCUCGGCUCGCGGUUGGCCCAAAUCCGAGUCCCCGGCUUCGCGUGCCGCGACUUUCGGUGGUCGAAACGAACCUCGAUGUCCCGUCGCGCCCGCGUCGUCGUAGCACGGACUCACGGACCCUGACGCGUCGCCGCCUGGCGACGCUCGCUUCGCGA
rnacentral:rRNA from 1 species